AUUGAACGCUGGCGGCAUGCCUUACACAUGCAAGUCGAACGGUAACAGGUCUUCGGACGCUGACGAGUGGCGAACGGGUGAGUAAUGCAUCGGAACGUGCCCAGUCGUGGGGGAUAACUGCUCGAAAGAGCAGCUAAUACCGCAUACGACCUGAGGGUGAAAGCGGGGGACCGUAAGGCCUCGCGCGCUUGGAGCGGCCGAUGUCAGAUUAGCUAGUUGGUGGGGUAAAGGCCUAUCAAGGCAACGAUCUGUAGUUGGUCUGAGAGGACGACCAGCCGCACUGGGACUGAGACACGGCCCAGACUCCUACGGGAGGCAGCAGUGGGGAAUUUUGGACAAUGGGCGCAAGCCUGAUCCAGCAAUGCCGCGUGCAGGAAGAAGGCCUUCGGGUUGUAAACUGCUUUUGUCCGGGAAGAAAUCCCAUCCCUGAAUACGGGGUGGGGAUGACGGUACUGGAAGAAUAAGCACCGGCUAACUACGUGCCAGCAGCCGCCGUAACAC
rnacentral:rRNA from 1 species